AGAACGAACGCUAGCGGCAGGCUUAACACAUGCAAGUCGAACGCUCGUAGCAAUACGGGAGUGGCAGACGGGUGAGUAACGCGUGGGAACAUACCCUCCGGUUCGGAAUAGCUCAGGGAAACUUGGAUUAAUACCGGAUACGGCUGAGAGGCGAAAGAUUUAUCGCCGGAGGAUUGGCCCGCGUUCGAUUAGCUUGUUGGUGAGGUAACGGCUCACCAAGGCGAUGAUCGAUAGCUGGUCUGAGAGGAUGAUCAGCCACAUUGGGACUGAGACACGGCCCAAACUCCUACGGGAGGCAGCAGUGGGGAAUAUUGGACAAUGGGCGCAAGCCUGAUCCAGCCAUGCCGCGUGAGUGAUGACGGCCUUAGGGUUGUAAAGCUCUUUCGCUCGGGACGAUAAUGACGGUACCGAGAUAAGAAGCCCGGCUAACUUCGCGCCAGCAGCCGC
rnacentral:rRNA from 1 species